rnacentral:tRNA from 1 species
GAUGGUGUAGCUCAGUGGUAGAGCGGUUGACUGUCAAUCAACUGGUCGGUGGUUCGACCCCCCCCCAUCAUCGCCA